GGUAGAGAGGUAAAGUGUCCACCUAGCUACAUAGAUUUCAGGGACUUAAUUGGCAGGGACAUAGAAAUCACCAGAGAUGGCCAGUAGCAGCCUGGAUAGUCUGGGUAGACAUCCUGGCAGGCGGACAGAUUUUAACAGUCUAUA